rnacentral:misc_RNA from 1 species
GAUGAAGAACGUAGCGAAAUGCGAUAAGUAAUGUGAUUUGCAGAAUUCAGUGAAUCAUCGAAUCUUUGAACGCACAUUGCGCCCGCCAGUAUUCUGGCGGGCAUGCCUGUUCGAGCGUCAUUUCAACCCUCAGGCCCCCAGUGCCUGGUGUUGGGGAUCGGCCCAGCCUUCCUGUAAGGCCGCCGGCCCCGAAAUCUAGUGGCGGUCUCGCUGUAGUCCUCCUCUGCGUAGUAGCACAACCUCGCAGUUGGAACGCGGCGGUGGCCAUGCCGUUAAACACCCCACUUCUGAAAGUUGACCUCGGAUCAGGUAGGAAUACCCGCUGAACUUAAGCAUAUCAAUAAGCGGAGGA